rnacentral:tRNA from 1 species
UGGUGGUUAGUUUAACAAAAACCCCUAAUUUCGACUUAGAAAAUCCCACCACGGGGCCACCAA